rnacentral:rRNA from 1 species
GACGAACGCUGGCGGCGUGCUUAACACAUGCAAGUCGAACGGAAAGGCCCCUUUGGGGGUACUCGAGUGGCGAACGGGUGAGUAACACGUGAGUAACCUGCCCUUGACUUCGGGAUAACUUCAGGAAACUGGGGCUAAUACCGGAUAGGAAUCCUUGCUGCAUGGUGGGGGUUGGAAAGCUUCGGCGGUUUUGGAUGGACUCGCGGCUUAUCAGCUUGUUGGUGGGGUAGUGGCUUACCAAGGCUUUGACGGGUAGCCGGACUGAGAGGGCGACCGGCGACAGUGGGACUGAGAUAAGGCCCAGACUCCUACGGGAGGCAGCAGGGGGGAAUAUUGCACAAUGGGCGGAAGCCUGAUGCAGCAGCGCCGCGGGCGGGAUGACGGCCUUCGGGUUGAAAACCGCGUUCAGCAGGGGCGAAGCUUGUGGUGACGGUACCUGCAGAAGAAGCACCGGCUAACUACGUG